AUACGUAGGUGGCAAGCGUUGUCCGGAUUUACUGGGCGUAAAGGGAGCGUAGGUGGAUAUUUAAGUGGGAUGUGAAAUACUCGGGCUUAACCUGGGUGCUGCAUUCCAAACUGGAUAUCUAGAGUGCAGGAGAGGAAAGGAGAAUUCCUAGUGUAGCGGUGAAAUGCGUAGAGAUUAGGAAGAAUACCAGUGGCGAAGGCGCCUUUCUGGACUGUAACUGACACUGAGGCACGAAAGCGUGGGGAGCAAACAGGAUUAGAUACCCUGGUAGUCCACGCCGUAAACGAUGGAUACUAGGUGUAGGGGGCGUUAGGCCUUCUGUGCCGGAGUUAACGCAAUAAGUAUCCCGCCUGGGGAGUACGGCCGCAAGGUUGAA
rnacentral:rRNA from 1 species